rnacentral:lncRNA from 1 species
ACCACUGCAGUCACCAGCAGCCCAACCCAACCCUCACACACAGAGCCCUUGCACAACAAGUCAUCUCGUGCAUAACCAUGCUUUGUACAGUCCAUCCUUGCGCCGUCUAGCACCGUUCAGGCCUUGCACAGGCAAGCUCUUGCACAGUCGCGCAGUCUAGCUUCGUUCAAGCCUCACACAGGCCAACGCAUACACCAUCAAGCAGUCCUGUAGGCCAGCCCAUGUGCCAUCCAGUAGCAUCAUAGUCCAGCAUAGCCGCAUAUUCCAGCAACCCCUACAUCGUCUAGUAGUCCUAUAGGCCAUCCCCUGCACUGUCUAGUACAUUUAGCAGCCGCGCAAUCUAGCACAGCCACACAGUCUAGCAACCAGUAGCCCCAUAAUCCAACAACCAGUAGUCAGUAGUCUAGCGCAGCCAUCAGUUGCACAGUGCAAUUCAGCCUCCAGUCAUUGCGUAGUCUAGUGUAGCCAGCAGUAGCUGCUCGUGCAGUCCAUAUAUCGUGAAGUCUAUAUGUCUGAUAGUAUGACACUUUAAAAAAAAUAUAUUCUCCUUUGAUUUCCUAAGAUUGAUUCUUGGUGUUACGUUGAUAGUUAACCCAGUCAAGGAGGUUGCCCCAGCCCAUAUGGUUUUGUGCCCAACUCCUAUCUACCUAUCUUUUAGUCCCACGGACGCUAUAGUUGCAGGUACUCUUAUCGCUUUUCAUGAUAAGUCAAGUCACCCCACUUGAAUUCUGAAUUUUGGAGCUAAUAAUAACAUGACUGGUGAGCUUUCUACUUUUACCUCUUCUAUUAGUUUCAUAAAUCAAUCUGUUUGUAUUGCUGAUGGACCAUCUAUUCCCAUUUAUAGUCAGGGUGAUGCCCACUUUUCCACAGAUAUUACUCUUUCCUCAAUUUAUUAUGCUCUGAAUUUUGCCUAUAAUUUUCUUUCUGUUAGUUGUCUUGCAAAAAACCUUAAUUGUGCCGUUGUAGUCUUACCAUCUCGUUGUUUCUUGCAGGACUUGAUUUCGAAGAAGAUUCUUGGCAGGGGAUAUGAGAGUGAUGAACUGUACUACUUUGGGGAUCCGCCAACAUCUAUUGCUUUGUCCUUCAAUCUUCAAGCCUCUACUCUACCAGUCUUAGAGCCCUCCAUUUUAAGUUAGUCUAUAUUAAAUUCGUUUGUUUGUUCUAUUAAAACUUUAAAUUAGUGGCAUGCUCAUUUAGGGUAUGCAAUUUUUUUGUAUUUAUGUUGCCUUUUCUCCCAUCUUAAAAAGGCAUGCCAGAAAGUUACUUUUAAAUGUUUCAUUUGUGAAUUGUCUAAACAUACUCGCACCUCUUAUAUUUCACGCAUGCAUUGUGCACCGAGUGCUUUUGACCUUAUUCACUCAGAUGUAUAGGGCCCGUCUCCAGUUACUUCUUUCUCUUAACACCAUUAUUAUAUCACCUUUAUGGAUGACUACACUAGGUGUACUUAGGUCUACUUGAUGCGCAAUAAAUCCGAGGCCUUUUUCCACUUUACUUAUUUUCUACAAAUGAUCAAAGGGGUAUUGGUGUUAUGAUCCUGUCACUUUUGAAAACUGUUCCAUUCUUCUCAGGUUCUCCAUUUUCUCUGGGCCAUGCUUCAAAGCUGAUUGUGGAAGAGGGCUCUACACCUCCACGUCCGCUUCCUAUACUUGAGUCUCCUCCAAUAUCGCCCAGUGACUCUUUACCCUCGAGUGUUACUACCGACCCCUCAUAGGACUACCCUUAUUAUUCACACGCUCCAGCUCCCCUGCCAACAUCUUCUACGAAUUCAAGUAUCUCUUCUCCUUUAGUUUCUAAUAUACCUCAUCUCCGUUAUCCCACACGUGUUCGUUGUCCCCCUCCCCCCAUUUUCUUCUUUCAAAUAGUACUAAUCACUCUAUUGCACAAUAUCUAUCUUACCAAGGUCUUUAAGACUCCUAUCAGUCUUUUUUGAGUCAAGUGGACUCGGUCUCGAUUCCUCGCUUUGUCCAUGAAGCUCUUUAGAAUCUCUGAGGGUUUCUGCAAUGAAAGCCGAAAUGGAUGCUAUUCAGCACAAUCGAACUUGGGAUCUUAUUGCUUUGCCGAAAGGAGAUCGCACUGUUGGGUUAUAAAUGGGUGUUCAGUGUGAAGUAUUUGGCAGAUGGUUUGGUUGAUCGAUAUAAAUGGUUUUGUUGCUAAAGGCUUUACUCAGAUUGCAUGUAAAGAUUUGGGUGCCACUUUUGCCCUAGUUGCCAAAUUAAACACUAUUUGCCUUCUGAUUUUUCUUGUUGCUUCUUAUUCGUGGCUUCUUCACCAAUUGGAUGUCAAAAAGGCUUUCCUUAAUGGUGAUCUUUCUGAGAUUAUAUAUAUGGAUUUACCUUUAGGUUUUUGGACUUAGGGGGAGUAUUCGGAAAAUGUUUGUCGCCUCCAAAAAUCUAUCUAUGGCUUUAAGUAGUCUCCUUGGAUUUGGUUCUAUCACUUUGGUAAGGUAGUCUUGUCUAUGAGGUUUGUUCGGUGCCACUCAAAUCAUACUUGCUUUAUUCGU